GAUUAAGUUAUUAAGGGCGCACGGUGGAUGCCUUGGCACUAGAAGCCGAUGAAGGACGUUACUAACGACGAUAUGCUUUGGGGAGCUGUAAGUAAGCUUUGAUCCAGAGAUUUCCGAAUGGGGAAACCCAGCAUGAGUUAUGUCAUGUUAUCGA
rnacentral:rRNA from 1 species